AUAGCAUCCUAAUGAAUGUCUCCAAGAGUCCAACUUAUCUUUAUAUAUAUAUAUAAACUUGUCUAUGGCUGUGAAAUGAACACACUCUAUUUGGCUGUGAAAUGAUUGAUUGUGGAUUAACUUGUCUUUACCCUUCCAAGACAAUAAAGGAAACUUCCUAAGAACUAAAGCUUGGGUAGGGGAAGGCAUGGAGAUGGUGGAAUAUUGAUUUAAGUUAUAUAUUUUAUAGUGUCGUUUGGUAUAUGGGCGGAGCCACUUUAGAUAGUUUAAUGCACGUUAUGCGCCAAAAUUAUGUGGUGUACAAAAGUAUAUUAUGAGUGUUAUAUUUACUUUUGUAUACUCAUAAUACAAUUGAAAAGAAAAUUUAUAUAAUUUUUGUCAAUUUCUGGCUCCACUACUGAUCUGAUAGAGUG
rnacentral:lncRNA from 1 species